GCCCCAAAAAAAAUCGAAUUUUUUAUAUUCGUUAGUAAGUUUUCGUGUAAUAUAUUAUGAAACAAAUAAGUAGGCAAGUUAACCUAGUUAAAAUACUAAGUAAAAACAAGUAAGAAAGGAAAGUUGGGAAAUUGUAUCAAGUAAUAAUGUGGAGGGACUUAAAUUGGAGUUUUAGAUUAAACUUUCUACAAAAUAGAAAGUGCAGGAUGUUAUAUGUGGAUGGAGUGUGUGUCGACACACACACCUAAAGAAAAGAAGAAGGGAAUUCUCCCAAAUCAUCCAAAAAUCCAUAAAUUGAAGGUGGAAUGGAGCUUGAUCUCUUGCAUGGGAUGAAAUUUCUUAUCAUCCAUCCUUAAUAAACAUGAGGAUAGGAACCCCACUUGACAUGGACUCAAGCAUGGAAGACUAACGAGUUAAGUGGAGGCGAGGAAGCAAGCAUGGACACGAACGCUUAAGGUUAGACAGAUCAUCACUAUUAGCAUAGGAGAUAAGUGGACGAAGAUCGAGUAGAAGAUCAUGGAUUGUACGGAAAAGUGGUGAUGUAGUUGUAAUUGUAAGUUAACGUAGUUAUUUGAUCUAGAAUGAAUGAUGUACUUAAGUUAAAGAAAGAUUUAUUUAAAUGUCUUAAAGCACUAUAGAACAACUAAAAAGAAAGAA